rnacentral:rRNA from 1 species
AAAAAAGGUAAGCUACUAAGAGCGAAUGGUGGAUGCCUUGACUGGUAAAGGCGAUGAAGGACGUACUAGACUGCGAUAAGCUACGGGGAGCUGUCAAGAAGCUUUGAUCCGUAGAUUUCCGAAUGGGGCAACCCAAUGUAUAGAGAUAUACAUUACCUAUAUAGGAGCGAACGAGGGGAAUUGAAACAUCUUAGUACCCUCAGGAAAAGAAAUCAAUAGAGAUUGCGUCAGUAGCGGCGAGCGAAAGCGCAAGAGGGCAAACCCAGUGCUUGCACUGGGGGUUGUAGGACUGCAAUGUGCAAGAGGUAAGUUUAGCAGAACAUUCUGGAAAGUAUAACCAUAGAGGGUGAUAGUCCCGUAUGCGAAAAACAAACCUUAGCUAGCAGUAUCCUGAGUAGGGCGGGACACGAGGAAUCCUGUCUGAAUCCGGGUCGACCACGAUCCAACCCUAAAUACUAAUACCAGAUCGAUAGUGCACAAGUACCGUGAGGGAAAGGUGAAAAGAACUGAGGUGAUCAGAGUGAAAUAGAACCUGAAACCAUUUGCUUACAAUCAUUCAGAGCCCUAUGUAGCAAUACAGGGUGAUGGACUGCCUUUUGCAUAAUGAGCCUGCGAGUUGUGGUGUCUGGCAAGGUUAAGCAAACGCGAAGCCGUAGCGAAAGCGAGUCUGAAUAGGGCGCUUAGUCAGAUGCUGCAGACCCGAAACGAAGUGAUCUAUCCAUGAGCAAGUUGAAGCUAGUGUAAGAACUAGUGGAGGACUGAACCCAUAGGCGUUGAAAAGCCCCGGGAUGACUUGUGGAUAGGGGUGAAAGGCCAAUCAAACUUCGUGAUAGCUGGUUCUCUCCGAAAUAUAUUUAGGUAUAGCGUUGUGUCGUAAUAUAAGGGGGUAGAGCACUGAAUGGGCUAGGGCAUACACCAAUGUACCAAACCCUAUCAAACUCCGAAUACCUUAUAUGUAAUCACAGCAGUCAGGCGGCGAGUGAUAAAAUCCGUCGUCAAGAGGGAAACAACCCAGACUACCAGCUAAGGUCCCUAAAUCUUACUUAAGUGGAAAACGAUGUGAAGUUACUUAAACAACCAGGAGGUUGGCUUAGAAGCAGCCAUCCUUUAAAGAAAGCGUAAUAGCUCACUGGUCUAGUGAUUUUGCGCGGAAAAUAUAACGGGGCUAAAGUAAGUACCGAAGCUGUAGACUUAGUUUACUAAGUGGUAGGAGAGCGUU